UGAGAGUUCAAGAGUACGUGAAACCAUCAGUCGGUAAACGAAGCCUAUCUCAAAGUGUUCGUUUCCGAAGUUCACCCCGCCCUUGCGGCUGGUGCAUUCUUUGGAAGCGUUCGAUGGUAGGAACUGCUCUCGCCAGUUAUCAGCUUGUCAGAUGGCUUGUUUUCGAUGAAGCGGGUUCAAGCUCUGGCGUCAAGCUGUGCCACUGUCGAAGGCAGGGAGUGAUUCCCUGUGAAUCCUUCUACCAAGUAGAUUGUUGAAGGCUUCGACCCGUCUUGAAACACGGAC
rnacentral:rRNA from 1 species